UUUUUCUAUUUUUAAUUUUUGUGUGUGAGCUUUCUCCUUGUGCUAGGAGUGUAAAAUAAUUCAAGCUUUAAAUACUGGGGCAAAUGGAGUUGCUCUAUCAGUAGGGUAUUUGCAGAUGUGUGAGAUCUCCUAAUGUAGAUUAAGAAUACUCUGAUAAUGUGCAGUGCAAGUUUUUGAUGUACUUCGUAUUUGGAGGACAUGAGUGGCUUCCUUUCUACACAGAGCAUUAAUUUUAUUAAAAAUUAUAGGGAAAGAAAUAGUUUGUCAGGUUUUGGAAACUGGAAAUCAGGUACUUUAAAAUAAAUGUCAUAACACCAAGGAACAAAUAGUAAGAAUGCAGGCAUUGAUCAGAGCAGAGAGUGGGGAAGAAAGAAGAGCGGGAGCCUGCUAAAUACACCACAACACACAUUUGCUUAAUGAGACACAUUUGAUUAACUACACAAGCAAAUGCUUGUAGCAGACCAAGAAACAGGCUGUUGCGAUACUUAGAGUCAAGAAACUAGCUUCAGGUAAUGUUGAUACUUGUUGUAUUUUAAAGGUUUAAGAAACUUGCUUUUACAUGUUAUGUUGAAAUUUGUUACUUCCCCAGAUUACAAGUCUUUACACAGAGUCGAAUCCACCUUCUCUGAAUGUACAACAAACCCAAUCCUUUAGGUAAAUUAUUUUUUGUUUUCAUUUCAUAAUGACUUUAUCAAAAUGACUUAGUCUAGUAAGUUUUGAAUGUCGUCAUGUCUCUUUCUCCACUGUCACAAUGGAGGACACUCCAUCUAUUCAUGUGAAAAAAGUAAUUAUUGUGGAAUAAGUAGGUUUUAAGAUUAAGACUAGCAGGUUUUUAUCUUGCUAGUUUUGUUUCCUGAUGUAAUAUUCAAUCAAGCAGCUAGAAUAAUUUCUUAUUAAAACUACCUCUCGUGGUAGAAAUUAAGCAAAGUUGUAGUUGUAAAUAACCAGAUUUUGCUGGGUUGACUGAAGUAAUUUAGCCUCUGGUUCCAGUAACCCACUGUUUCAUGGUCUCUGGAGGAAGUGAAGAGGGAGAUACCCCUGGUUCAGUUGCCACUAGGGCAGAACAGAACUAAAAAUGCUAAUAGCGCAGUAAUAUUUUGAAAUAUCUUUGAAGUUUAGUUGCUAGCUAUUUUACCCAUUCUGUUUUAGGAAUUGGCUACUACUUACUUUUAUUGUACACAAAUAGUUUGAUUACAAAGGUUUAGAUGAUAGAGGGUUAGAGAGAUGAGGGGGAAUAAAUGACCUUUCUUACCGAGUUUCUGCAGUUAUAUUGGACCUUAGGUGAUGUACCAAGUCUAUGCUUCUAGGAGGCAUCCUUGUUGACUUACUGUAAGUCAACAGAUUCCAGAAGUCUGGCUUUUCUCCUAAUAUUUUCCUUUUAAUUUGAUAAACCUGUAUGUUUGACUUUUACUUUGAAUGGAAUCUCAUAUGAGGACUUUAUGGCAAUCCCUCAUCUACUUUUUUUAUUACAGUGUGAAAGAUUUCAAAUUGAUUUACAGCAAGAAAAUAAAUCUAAGCUACAGGGUUUUAUUAGGUUUCUCCAUACAAUGUGUGAAGAAAGAAGGAAAGAAAAAGUCUCAGAAUUAUUUUGAAUGAUUUGCUCUGUGCACUGUUUAUAAAGUUAUUUUCUGCAUGUGCAGAGAUGUGUCUGAGUGUAUAUACAUGCUCACAUAUACUUUUUGUUUCCUACUGCCUAGAUGGCUUGCAGGCUACUGAAGAUAGUGUUUUGGGUUUUUUUUUUUUUUAACCUCAAAUAACACAUCUUCAGAACAUAUGAAAAUGACCUUAGAACUAUUCCUUAUGUAAUUUGUGCAUUUACGCUGUUGACUAUAGCAUCUCAUGUGUAUGGCCCUAGAUCAUCUCCAGUAAUAUAAGAUAAUGUUAAAGGUUUGGGAACUCUUCAAAAGCAGUGUCAUUUAAACAUGAAAUAUCCUGCGGAUGCAUUGUUCAUUAGUCAUUAUUCUCAGAUGUCAUCAUCUUUGAACUACAGCAACACGUGGCAGUCUGGAAAAUGUUUUCUCUUUCUUGUUAAAUUGAAGGUAAUAAAUCAUAUUACUCAAAUCAAUAUUUAAUUAUUAGUCAUGCAGUGUUUUCUGGAUUUCUGGGUGAUGAGAUUUCAAAGCAGAUAUUGUGGUUGUGCAUAUGUCUUACCUUUUUUUUUUCUGGGUUUUUUUGGUUUUUUGUUUGUUUUUGUUUUUUGUUUUGCCUUUGAUUUUAAAGACAAAAAUCUUCUGUUACUUCAGAUGUUAAUAUUGACAAGAUACUAAACUUCAAACCAUAUAUCUGAAUAUCUGUGAUUUAAAGCUUUCACACAUGAAAUUGGGUGGUUGACUUUGCUUGCCUAGGACUGCCUUAUUCUUAAAGACAUUUAGUAUUUACUCCUUGCAAUGGGAUCAAAAAUAAAAUGUUAGAAUGUCUUAAGUCUUCAUCCUGAUAUUGAUGAGCUUUAAGCCUAAUUUUGGUGUGGUUUGAUGCACAGAUUAAAUGUGAGCCAAU
rnacentral:lncRNA from 1 species